CGAGCGGCGAACGGGUGAGUAACACGUGGAUUAUCUGCCCUGAGGUGGGGGAUAACCCGGGGAAACUCGGGCUAAUACCGCAUAGGACCGUGAGGUCAAAGGGGGGUCGCAAGAUCUCUCGCCAUAGGAGGAGUCCGCGUCCGAUUAGCUAGUUGGUAAGGUAAUGGCUUACCAAGGCAACGAUCUGUAGCCGGCCUGAGAGGGCGGUCGGCCACACUGACACUGAAUAACGGGUCAG
rnacentral:rRNA from 1 species